UAGUGUUUUCUAUUGCUCUCUGUGAACUUAGGCGAUGGCAAAUAAUAGCAUCCUCCAGGUCUUCGUUGUUUUUCUCAUUGCACAAGUAUGCUUACUGAUGAUGAUGGCAGCACCAGUAGCGCAGGCAGCUGGCAGGCUUAUGGGAUACAAUCCCGUUUGCUGCCCUAGGGACAUCUACUGUUGUGGGUUUGGUGGUGUGAUGGCCAAUGGAACUGCAUCCUCCACCAAUCCUUGAUAUGUCGUCUCACUCUCCUCCGAGCUAUAAGCUAGGGCAUAUAAAAUGUGCUUCAAGUUGGUCGUUUCGUUUCUUAUAUGCAAUUUGUGCUACUAGUUUCAAGAAAUAUUAUGUGUAAGCUAUUUUGCUAAUAAAAGUGGGAGGAGAUUGUUAUCUAUGUUGUUUGCAAUGUGCCGCAAAGAGAUUUAAAAUUAUGUUUACUGUGUUUUUUGAGGAUCAUAUCACCCUAUAUUUUCAUGGUUAAACACAUGUUAUGAUAAUAAAGGUACCAUCCUUAGUUGAUUCCAGUUUAUUACUAAUCAUACCAGUUAACCCAUCACAUAGAGUGUCAAUUUUCUGCAGACAUCAAGCAACUUAACCCUCGCCAAAUCUUACUGAAUCAAGCUUCUAAAAACUUCUAAAACCCCCCGCAAAAAAAGCUUCUAAAAACUAGACGAGAACUAAUUUGUUUCCUUUUUCUAGCCCUUUUUUGCUUCAUCUUUUUUUCAGCGUUCUUCCCAAUGCCUAAAACCCCGACCAUGCAUGUGUACCAACCCAAUUUAGGUGAGGCACAGUGGCCAAGGCGUCAUGCCUGCUGAUGUAUUUGAACGCUCCGUCCGGCCGAUUGUUUCCUGGCACUCAGGAGGAGGACCUUCUUGGGCGCGACAGUUCUAUCACUCUAUCAGGAUGUCCUCGUGACAUGUGACACCUUGGGGUGUUGAGAAUGAGCAGAUCGAGCAUGCACAUCAGACGUUCGAGAAAUUGCUCGGCAUCUUGGGCGCUCUUGUCGUCUGCCAAACCGUGGACAGGGGCGUGUCCUCGUGGUGUGCUCAUCGAGGUUCCUGGUCGUGGUCGAGCUCUGGUUUAAUUUCCUCGUGUAUGGUCCCCAGUGUUAGUUCGACCUGGCGUGGUGUGGUACGGUGUACAUGAAGGUCUGGAUGUGCCUCGGUUAAGAUUAACGAUGUCAACGGUGGACCCUUCAAAUCGACACAAUAUUUGUCUGCGGACGAUCCAGACUUGUCAUGGAUCCGCAUAUAGGAACCGGCCAUCCAACUCUUUUCCCAAAACGUCCUCUUCUAUUAUUACUUUUAUAUAUAUAAAAAAUACUAGUAACCUUACACCAAAUAGCUAAAUUUCAACCUUCCACCAAAAGGCAUACCGCACAAAAGCAAAUUGAUGUGUGUUGCCAAUGACCUCCCACCAAACAAUGGGCCAGGAGUACAUGUGAGCAUCUACAUUCCGGUGUCUCAAACCCCCUCAUAUGCCCGGGCGAACAGCCGGUUAGUGACCGGUCAAAAAAACCCGACCUAGACGGACGCCUCAAACGGCCUCAAACGCCUGGGCUGAUCAACACCCCUCAUAUAUCCAACCUAAAUAUGGGGCGGAUAUGGGGAGGCCCGGGCAUGACCGUGCACGUCCGCCACGUAGGACCAGGCCCACACUAGCCAACUCGAGCCCACAUAAAUUCGUCCACAUCCCCUCCUCGAACCAAACCCUAUCCACUCCACCCCGUCACCCAAGCUCCCCUCCGGCGUUCUCCAGCCUUUUCCGGCAAGGCGGGUUGUGGAUCCGAGUCCUACACCUCCAAAUCGGUCGUCCUUGAGCUAAUCCCACAUGGCUCCGAGGAGGAGAUGACCAUCCGGCUUGCGCUCCGAAGCACAGUAAUAAUAUCGAGUAGCAUUCAGAGCUCGCUGGUAAUCCGCAUCUACCACCAACCAUCAACAAUGUAGCUUCAGAAGCCACUCCCGAAGGCCGUCCAACGGCAGCGCUCCAACUCCUUCCAUCGGGAAUCCACCGUGCCAUCCCAAACGGCGGCAUGGAUCUGCCGCUAGGUGUGUCAUCGCUACCUGACUAGAGGCGGUGCAGUCCAUCUGGCAUCCGAACGCGGUGACGGACGCGCAAUCGCUCCGCUGGAGCGCCAAGGUGGAGGACGCACCAUGGGCGUCAUCCCAUGCAAACAUGGCGCGUUGUGCACGCCAUGCGAGGCAGUGAGCACGGCAGGCGGCGGCAGCCCUCGCCGGCAGUGGACGUUGGCGAGGUGGAGUUGCAUUCUCUGGCGCGUUGGAUGUUGCACCAGUCCGGGCGCCACAACCGUGUCGUGGUGGAUGCCGCCGGCUCGUCCAGGACGGACCCAUUAUCGAUCUGACAUCCACCGCCACCGUCUGGGUUCCAAGCUCCGAUGAGGAAGAGCAGGACAUGGGAGAUGACGACGCCUUACGUCCCGUGAUCCAUCCCAUAAUUAUUUUUACAACUUCUAUCAGAGGUUUUGUAAAGAUUCUAGAAGCAUGUGAUCGUCUUUGUCAAGUUUAUGGUCAUUUUUUUCAUUUGGGCUUCGAUGUGUUUCUACUAUAGUUUUCUUUGCUUUUCUUAUUUUGUAUUUUUCUUUCAUUUUUUCCUUGUGUCAUUUAAAGUAAAUUCAAACAUCGCGCACUUUUCAAAAAAUUGCAUGCAUGUUUUUCAAAUUCAACAGUUUUUUUAAUUCUAUGAACAUUCUUCUCAAAUAUGUCAUCUAUUUUCCAACCUGUGAACUUUUUCAAUUUCAUGAAUUUGUUCAAAUCUGUGAAUAUAUUAUUCAGAAUCAUCACCAUUUUUCAGAACCACGAACAUUUUUAGAAAUCUGUAGAAAAACUCAAAUGUACAACCAUUUAUUUCUAGUUUGUGAUCCUUUUUUCCAAAUUUAUGAACUUUAAAGAAAAUCAUGGACAUUUUUGGAACGUGUGGUUAUUCUUUUAAUGUGCAAAUUUGUUUAGCUAUAAAAAUGAAAAUCAUUUUUCUCUUUCUAAAUCAACUAGGUAUGUGCCCGUGCGUUGUCACGGGAGCCAAAUCUUAUAAUGCACAAUAAGAGCAUAAUAUACGGUGACAAAUCCUGUUGUUUUUGAAGAUGGUUUUUAUAAUAAAAAUCGACGAGGAGGCUCGUUGUUUACGGAAAAAUACUGCCAAAUUCUUCAAUUGGUAGUAAUUUGGAAUGCUACAUCAAUAGAACUAAAUUUUAUUAGUUGGGGAAAUAAAUAAUGACCUAGUACACAUUAUCAGUCUAAUGAGAUGCAUACAGAUUAUGCAAAAUUGGAUUCUAAAAAAAUAGCACACUCCAACGUCAAUAGAUAGGAACUGCUAAAAUUCGGGUCACAUUGUACAUUCACUGUACCAUGUGACUUGCUAUACCUUUGUGUUUACCUACUGAUCUGAUGUACAAUCCUCGAUGCAAAUGAAUCAUAAAGAUUAACUUCCUUCUUAAAUUAAACAUGACCCAGUUUCGUCCUCUCUGCUGAUUGUGCAGAUGGUAAGUUCCGUCAUGCCAUAGCGUUUGAUAUGGUGAUUGUUCUUUCUGGUGAACUUAGUGGAUGAUAAUGCUUUGACAGUAGAUAGGAUGCAAGAGGAUCAGCAUGUAUAACUGAUUAGAAUUUUUGUAGAGAGAAAACAUAUUAGAAUUGGCUAAGUUGGUGCAACUAAAUAGCAAUUCACAUCCCAAUGCCCACGGGGCAAUGACUGCCACGUAGCAGUACUGCCUUGAAGAGUGACAUCGGUUGGUACAUCGGCUUCUUAGCGAAGCUAGGACCUGUCCAUCCUUCGUGUUCUUGAUCUUGGCGCAGAGUACGUUGGGGAUGUGGCUGAACAGAUAGACCGCACAGAUGCUGCGGAGAACAAGCAACGACCUCACCAAGGUUAGCCAGCAGCACGUUGACGAUGACCCAGUUUGGAAGCAAAGAUUGAGCGAAUCCAUUUACGUCAUGACAUGCAUACACGGGGAGAGAAGAUCAAUCAAGCGAGCUACAUGAAGGAGCGGUGAAAAAUCCGAUCAAAUGAAGGAAACAACACUUGCAAAGAUUCGCCAUGCCGUCCAGGUGUGCGGUCGAGGCGUGUGGAGGCGACAACGGCUACUCCCUCCGUCCAAAAAUACUUGUCAUUUAAAUUGAUGUAUCUAGACGUAUUUUAGUUCUAGAUACAUCCAUUUUUCAUCCAUUUUGAUGACAAGUAUUUCCGGACGGAGGGAGUACAUCGGUGGCAGCAUCCAGGUCGUGCUAUUCCGGCGCGUAAGGCUUCAUUUCCGUAGCAUCGGAUGUAGCAGAUAAAUGGCGACGGUUUGCGACGUGGUUUUCGGGCAGGUGAUUUCUGAUGCGAUUUUAAGGGAAGGUGUGACGCCCAUUGACACAUGUAAUUAUGGUGAUUGCGAUUCUUUAAGGGAAGAUAUGACUCCCAUUGGCGCAUAUAAUUAUGGUGAUUGUGAUUUUUAAGGGAAGGUGUGACGCCCGUGCUUCAUUGGGUCAUGUAAUUAUGAUGAUUGAAUCGAAUCGUCACUUGCCAAUCGAGAAAAAAGGUAGAGUGGAUGGACGAAGGUGGGCAGAACGCGGUAUGUCUGGCAGGAAAACGAACCUUAGGUUCUUUUUAGAUAGUAGAGAGUGCCAUCGGUAGGUACAUCGGCUGCUUAGCAAAGCUAGGACCUGUCCAUCCUUCAUGUUCCUAUCUUGGCGCAGAGUACGUUGAUGAUGUGGCCGAACAGAUGGACUGCACGGAUGCUGUGAAGAACGAGCAACGACCUCACCAAGGCUAGCCAGCAGCAUGUUGACACAUGACCUAGUCUAGAAGGAAAGAUCGAGCAGAUGCAUUUACGUCAUGGCAUGCAUAAACAGGGAGGGAAGAUCAAUCAAGUGAGCUACAUGAAGCAACAAUGAAAAAUCCGAUCAAAUAAAGGAAACAACACUUCUAGAGAUUCGCCAUGCCGUCCAAGUGUGCAGUCGAGGCGUGAGGCGGCGACAACGGCUACAUCGGUGGCAGCAUCCAGGCCGUGUCGUUCUGGCGCGUAAGGCUUCGUUUCUGCAGCAUCGGAGGUGGCGGAUCAAUUGCGACGUGAUUUUCGGACAUGUGAUUUCUGAUGAGAUUUUAAGGGAAGGUUUGGGGCCCAUUGACGCAUGUAAUUAUGGAGAUUGCGAUUCUUUAAGGGAAGGUGUGACUCCCAUUGGCGCAUGUAAUUAUAGUGAUUGCGAUUUUUAAGGGAAGGUAUGACGCCCGUGCUCCAUUGGGUCAUGUAAUUAUGAUGAUUGAAUCAAAUCGUCAUUUGCCAAUCAGGAAAAAAAGGUGGAGUGGAUGGACGAAGAUGGACAGUCAGAACGCGGUCCGUCUGGCAGGAAAUGGAACGUUACGUUCUUUUUAGAUAGCAGAGAUGGAAGCAGUGGCGGAGCUUCAUUGGGGCUAAUGGGGGACCCUCAAGUCUGAUUAGCCCCCUAAACAAUCUUUAUCAAGCUCUGGCAGUGGGUGGAGGCCCCAAGAGGCCAAACAAACGAGGCAACCACCUAGCAAUUACCGGAGUGAGGCGGGAGACCGUCCGACCGCGGCGACAGAGUCGAAUGCUACUGGGUUGUGACCAACCUAGCGCGGCAUGAGUGAAAGCCAUCGUGACCGCCUGAAGGAGAGCUCCUGUUCGGCGCCUUAUGCGCCCAAACAGCUCCCUAGCGCCUGAAGGAGAUGUCUACUGGGCCGGCCCAGAAACCUUCGCUUGAUAAAAGUUCAUUGAUUUUUUAAGUUCAUCAAAAUUGAAAAAAGCUCAUCGAACCUGAAAAAAAGGUUCAUCGAAUUUUAGCAAAGUUCAUCAUAAUUGAAAAAAGUUCAUCAAAAUAUAAUAAAAGUUCAUCGAAUUUGAGAAAUGUGCAUCAUAAUUCGAAAAAGUUCACCGAAUCUGGAAAAUAGUUCAUCGAUUUGUUGAAAAAAGUUCAUCGAUUUCUAAAAAAAGCUAAUCGAAUUAAAAAAAAUCAUCGAAUUUAGAAAAAGUUCAUUGACUUAAAAUGAGUUCAUCGAAUUUGGAAAAACUUCAUUGCGUUUGCAAAAAAGUUCACCGAAUUAGAAAAAAGUUCAUCCAAUUUGAAGAAAAGUUCACUACAUUUGAAAAAAGUUCAUCGAACUUGAUAAAUAGUUCAUCAAAUUUUGGAAAAAAGUUCAUCGAAGUUAAAAAAAAGUUCAUUAAAUCCGGUGAACAUUACGAAUUAGAAAAAAGGAAAAAAUAAAAAUAAAAAAUAAAAAGAAAAUAAGCAAGAAAAAGAAAAGAAAGAACAAAAAAGUUAAGAAAAUGUACUUGAUCAUAAAUCGUUGAGUGGCAGGGUGGUUAUCACGUGGCACGCUGAACCGCUACGGCGCGGGUUCGAGUCCUCCCAGUAUGUGUUUUUUGCAUCAGUUUAGAAAGAAAGAAGGGAAUUUGGGCCGGCCGGCGUCGCGAGCGGGGGUAUGCGCCCUGUACGAUUAACAUUGUAUUCGGCGCUGAGGCCGCCAAAUAGUAUUUGGGCGCCUGAAGCGCUGAACAGGCGCUCCCCAUUUCAAACAAGAACGAUAAGGGCUCCUCGUCAACGCCUUCAUGGGCCGGCCGAAAACAGCGCGUAGUUUGGUAGUCAAAAGUCGCGGUUGACCAGUCUGCCCAUUGAUUUUUAAAAUACGCAAAAAAAAUCCAAAAAUUCCAUGAAUUGAAAUUUUUCAUGGUUUAAGAUACUCAAAUUCAAAAAUAGUUAGAAAAACAAGGUUUUGAAAAGAAGUUCAAUGAUUUGAGAACAAGAUCAUUGAUAUUUUAAAAAGUUCACGAAUUUUGCAAAUUUGGAAAAAGUUCAUCAAUUUUUCUAAAGUGAUGGAUCUAAAAAAAGUCUAUUGGUUUUGGAAAAGAAGUUCACGAAUUAUGAGAAAAUCAUAUGCAUGGAUUUGAAAAUAUAAGAUUGAUUUCAUUAAAAAGUGCAUGCUGUUUGAGAAAAAAGUUUGUAGAUUUCGAAAAAAUUCAUCGAUUUUGAAAAAGUCCACAAACUUAAAAAAGUCUCAUCAAACAUAAAUUUUUUAAAAAGUUCAUCAACUUUGAAAAAAAUUAGGAAUUUGGAAAAUACUUUAUGGAUUUAUGUUCGUCAAUAAUGAAGAAAAUUUCACGAAUUAAAACUUUCUUCGAUUUUAAACAUAAGUUCACGAAUUUGGAAAAUGUUUGCGCAUUUAUGAAUACAAAAUAUACAAAUAAAAAAUAAAAAUAAAUUAAAAGGAACAAGAAAAAUGAAAAAAAGAAGGACCGAAUAAGGGUGGUUCGAAAACUGACCACUGAACCUAAAAAACGGUUUGCGAAGCUUAUGGAAGCUUGGCAAACUGAGGGCUUGUGCGAACUCAAGAAUGAAGAAAAGAAAAGGAAAGUAAAUAGGCAUAAGUGUUACUAUAUCCUAGCCUCCUAGGUCUCAAAAUCAAAUCCCGUCGCCUGCACCCUUAUUUUGAAGUUGAACAGAAAAUAGAAAGGUAAAUGGGUAGGCCCAGCGAGGAGGGGGGGGGGGUGCGCCGGUUGGCGAAAUAACCUUUAACUGAAGCUGCAAUCACCAAAUAGGGUUUGCAAUGAAUGAUAUGUAUUGCUAAUUUUGCGGUAUGUAUCAUCGACAAUGCUCCGUAGUGAGACACAUGGUUUUGCACCAGUUUUGGAGGCAUCUAUCCGGUUUUUGGAAUCCUCCAGCAUUUUUUCCUAUUUCCUUGUUGCUUUUAUGGUUUAUUUUUUAAUUUAGUUUUUCUAUUAUUCUCGUUUUUUACUUUCACUUUUUCUGUUCUUUCUCACUUUUCUGAAUUUUUAAAUAUCCAUUCAAAUUCGCGAACAUUUUUCAAAUUGGCCAAAAUUUUUGAGUUUACGAUAAUUUGCCGAAUUCCUGAAUAAUUGUUAACAUUUCGAAAUUUUUAUUGUAUUAGCGAAGAUUGUCAAAUUCAUAAACCAUUUUAAUCCAUUUUAUAAAAUUUAUUGAUAUUACUGAAAAUAAUGAGAAUUUUUUAUUUUAUGAACUUUGUUGAAAUUUGUGAUCAUUUUUCCAAUUUGGGAACAUAUUUUAAAUUGAUAAACAAUUUUUCAAUCUUUCAACAUUUUCUGAGUUUGUGAUUCUAUUUUGAAUGAUGAACAAAUUUUCAAUCUGUGAAUAUUUUCUGAAUUUGUGAAUCUAUUUUCAAUGACAAACAAUUUUUCAAUCUGUGAACGUUUCAUGAAUUUGUAAAAAAAAUGCAAUUACAGACAUUAUUGCAAAUUCAAAGAGACAUUUCAAAAUUGUGAAGUUUCUUCAAACUGAAGAAGAUUUUUUUCAAUGUCAUGAAUAGUUUUUUAGUUCACUAACUUCUUUUUAUUGACAAAAAAGUUCUAACUGGGACAUUUUUUGAAUGUGUGAAUUGUUUUAAUUUAUGAACAUAUUUCCAGUCAAUGAGAUAAUUUAUUUCUUUAAAACCCUUUUGAAUUCUUUCUUUUUCAAUUUUGUGAACAUUUAUGGAAACUCAUUAAUAUUUUUGAGUCCGUGAGAAUUUUUUGUAGCCACGAAUAUUUUCAAAUUCGUAGACACUUUCUAACUUCAUUGACAUUUUUUUAAUUCACAAACAUCAUUUAAAAAGUCAAUGAUUUUUGAACUCAAGUAAAUGUUUUAAAGUCGUGAACAUAUUUCAAAUUGGGAUUUUUUUUGGAAUUUGGAAGAUUUUUUAAUUCACAAAAAAAUGAUUUAAGAACAUAUUUUUUGGAAUCACAAAAAAAUAUUGUCCUGAACAUUUUUGUAUUCCAAAAUUUUUUGUCACCCUAUAAAUUUCUUUAAAAUACGUGAACAUUUUCUUGAAAUUAGAACAAAAUCUCAUUUUUAUCAUUUUGAAUUCACUGAUAAUUUUCGAAUUAGCUAUUUUUAUUCUCAUUUUUUAUAAAAUCUCAAAUUUUUGAAAUUGAUUAAAGCAUUAAAUUUAUGAACAUGUUUUUAAAUAAAAUAAAAAUGAAGUGAAUAAAAUUAAAAAUUAAGAAUUAGUGAAUUAAAAUUAUAUUUUGGGAAAAAAAGAAAAGAGCAACAAAUUGCAUUUAGGCUCUAGUAGCUAGCUUCCUACCUAGUUGUGCACUGAUGGGCUGCUGCAUCGAGUACUGUUGAUCUAUAAGAUCAGUCUAGAGCCUUCUAUACUACAUAGCCAUGUGAUGCCUAUUUCAAACACAUGAGCUCGUGGGCCUUCCCAAGACCUGGGCCCUAGGCGGUGGUCCCUUCCCGCCUAGACCUAGAACCGGCUCUAUGCCGAUGAUGGCGUGCCGGUAUCGACAUGGUCCCCUCGUGCAUGGCUACGCUUUAGUUCUCGGCCAAGUGUGGUCCGGGUGUUGUGCCCGACCAUUUGGAUGGCAAAGUGUGCAUCGACAAUGACUCAUCGAUGUAUUGUCUGUGCUGGGUUGAGUAGGCAGGGUCAACACAACACAUGGUGGCGAGCGAGGUCAGAAGUGGCUACGUACGGGUCACAAUGAUCGCGUUAUUAUAGGAAAGCUCCUAAUAGUUGGGGUGAAGACCUUAGGUAUGAAUCGAGAUGGUUUUACCUAGCAAUGAUGGUUUUACCUUAUUGAAGACAUUGCUCGAAUAUGCACAGACUUGUUCUUUAGCGUGAAAACUUAGAACCUAGCAUUUGGUAAUUGGACCUGGUGAUAGCAACCGUUUAAGCGUCGUUUUCUUUCUGAAGGUGUUGUUUCUGAAGAGCAUUUCUCAUUGUCCUUGUGGUGUCAAGAACUCAAGAUAUGGUUGGUUUGGAUUUGGUCGUUGUUUGUCGAUAGAUGUUUUGGCUGCUUCGUUUUUCUUUCUUUUCCUGCUUAGGUUUAGCGUUGUUGAUCUUAUAUGACUUUGCUAUUUGUUGGUGUCUUUAUUUAUGUAUGUGCAUUGAUAUUGACUUGUGCAUCCUAUAACUAUACAGAGGUCUAGUAUGUGUGCUCCUUAUGCUUGUAUCCCUUAUACUUCAUUUUGAGUCAUAGAAAUCCACUCUUUAUCGAACAAUGGUAAUCUCCCAAUGUGCAUAGAUAUGUCUAGCUUACGAUUUAUCCUCUGAGCGCAGAAUGUCAAGGAGGGUUGCUUAGUGGCAUCCACUCACCUCGAACUGAAUAGGAGAAGGGGGUGGCGGAGAUGAGAUGAGAGAAAUACUCCAUCCGUCCCAUAAUACAGGAGAGGAUCGCUAGUGUAAAAAAUGUUGUUAUAUUAUGGGACAUAGGGACUAGUAUUUGUUCCUUUUCCUGAUCAAUUGAUUGCCACUUCAAGUCAAAUGGUAUGGGAGAAAUGAGUGGAGACCCCUCACGCGAAAGAAUCGAAUUGCAGAUUUGGGGGGACUGGAGAAGAAACAAUCGAGGGUUUGCUUUCCGUACGAGAAACCUCGACUAUACGGUAGAUGCGAGUGCACCGGGUUGCUAGCCUAGAAAUUCUUUUUCCUGAGUAAAUUCAGAUUGUUUUUCGCUGAGUGAAUUCAGAAUGCCAGCCGGCAUUGUGUGGAACUGUUAAAAAUCACUAAUUAAGACAUACUCCUUGCAAAGCUCACUCCCACAUUUUCAGUUUGUGAUGUACGCCACUUGUCGUGCGUCCAAAUUUCGAAUCAUUUUCACUAUUAGAUUUCUUGCCUCGAGAUCUUCAAAACUAGAUCGCAUGUUGAUAAGUUUUGACGAACUUUUUUUCACGAAAAAAACCGGAUGAAAAAACCGAACCGGGAGCAUGGCUUUUUCCCCUUUCCCAAAGAGACAAGGCAGUGCCUUUCACGAAAUCACAACCGUGCCUCUCCGUAAGAAAAAAAAACAGAAAACACAUUCUCCUUUCCGUUUCCGAAAAGCACGGCCGUGCCUCUCGCGAAAGCACAAUCGUGCCUCUCGCGGAAGCAAAACCGUGUAUCUCGCGAAAGGAAAAAAAAUAGUAAACAUGUUUUUUUUCAUUUUCGAGAGGCACGGUCGUGCUUCUCGCGAAAGCAAAACUGUGUCCUCGCGGAAGCAAAACCAUGCCUCUGGCGGAAGAAAAAAAAACAGAAAACACGUAUUUUUUCAUUUCCGAGAGGCAUGGUUGUGCCUCUCACAAAAGCAAAAACCGUGCCUCUCGCAGAAGUAAAACCGUGACUCUCACGUAAGCAAAAAAACCGCAUAUUUUCGCACAAAUUUUUUUCGGCGUCCAAAAACUAAGGAAGACUUGUGAAAAACUAGUUUAAAAAGCCGAAAACACGUGCAAAAAAAAAAUAAAGAAUCUGAAAAGAGUGCCCAAAGCGCGACACGUGACGGUGGCUNNNNNNNNNNNNNNNNNNNNNNNNNNNNNNNNNNNNNNNNNNNNNNNNNNNNNNNNNNNNNNNNNNNNNNNNNNNNNNNNNNNNNNNNNNNNNNNNNNNNNNNNNNNNNNNNNNNNNNNNNNNNNNNNNNNNNNNNNNNNNNNNNNNNNNNNNNNNNNNNNNNNNNNNNNNNNNNNNNNNNNNNNNNNNNNNNNNNNNNNNNNNNNNNNNNNNNNNNNNNNNNNNNNNNNNNNNNNNNNNNNNNNNNNNNNNNNNNNNNNNNNNNNNNNNNNNNNNNNNNNNNNNNNNNNNNNNNNNNNNNNNNNNNNNNNNNNNNNNNNNNNNNNNNNNNNNNNNNNNNNNNNNNNNNNNNNNNNNNNNNNNNNNNNNNNNNNNNNNNNNNCAAUGGUUAAUCCCUAAAUAGGAGAGGAUUUCCUGCCAAGAAAAGGAGAGGAUUUGCCUUGUUGAUUCUUCCCAUUAAUUAUCAUAUUUGUAGACUUGUUUUUAUGUCACUAGAUGCAGUGAACGCGUCUAGGUUCAUCCUCCUGAUACAAUUUCAUAUAUUUUUAAGAGGCAUUUAUUAUUUAAAUAAUAUAUUAUCUUUCCUAUUCUUUUUUACCACAAGUGCUAUCCUCAAUACUCAGCUAUUUUGUUUUAAUGGAAUUUAUUAGGAUAAGCACGGGCUUCAUGCCAUGUAUCCAUAUAAAUUGACUAUUUGCUAGGAUCAAACACAAACAGACAAGUGAAAAGAGUAUUGCAUAGUGUUUUCUACUGCUCUAUGUGAACUUAGGCGAUGGCAAAUAAUAGCAUCCUCCAAGUCUUCAUUGUUUUUCUCAUUGCGCAAGUUUGCUUACUCAUGAUGAUUGAAGCACCGGUAGCGCGGGCAGCUGGCAGGCUUAAGCGACUCAAUCCAGUUUGCUGCCCUAAGGAAAUCUUUUGUUGUGCGUUCGGUGGCAUGAUGUCCAAUGGAACUGCGUCCUCCACCAAUCCUUGAUAUUUUUUUUCAUUCUCCUCCGAGCUAUAAGCUAGGGCCUAUAAAAUAUGCUUCAACGUGGUCGUGUUGUUUCUUAUAUAUAAUUUUUGUUAUUAGUUUCAAGAAAUAUUAUGUGUAAGCUAUUUUGCUAAUAAAAGUGGAGGAGAUUGUUAUCUAUGCUAUUUGCAAUGUGCCGCAAAGAGAUUUGAAAUUAUGUUUAAUUUAGUGUUUUUAGAGGAUCAUAUCAUCCUAUAUUUUCAUGGUUAAACACAUGUUACGAUAAUAAAGGUACCAUCCGUAGUUGAUUUCAGUUUACUACUUAUCAUAGCAGUUGACCCAUCACAUGAACUCACAGUUUCACUUUUUCUUAAGGUGCCUUUGUUCUGUUGGUAAUUUUCAAAUUUUACAUUUUCAUUGGUGUUUCUUUUUUCUAGCCCAUUUUUGCUUCAUCUCUUUUUUAGCAUUCCUCCCAACGCCUUGACACCCCAACCAUGCAUGUGUACUGACCCAAUUUAGGUGAGGCACGGUGGCCAAGGCAUCAUGCCUGCUCAUGUAUUUGAACACUCAGUUGUUUCGUGGUACAGAGGAGGACCUUCUUGCUCAUGUGCCACCAUUUGAAGGAUCUCGGUGCGGCAGUUCCACCAGGAUGUCCUCCUGAGAACAUAGUCGGACUCCUCAAAUUGAUCGGGUAGGUGCGGGGACAACUGAGCAGAUAUGAGAGAGAAACAAAAAGUAGCAAAAGGUUGACCCAACCGGAUCCCUCAUAUCAUCCAUAUACGCCCGGGCUGUCCAUGAACUCUCAUAUCCAUCUCAAAUAUGGGGAGGAUAUGAGGCCUCGCGGACGCGCCCGGGCGUGCUCGGUCAGUCCGCCACAUAGGACGAGUCCCCACCCCGGACCACAUUUUCUCUUUCUUUAUUCAUUCUUUUCUUUCUCUUUCUUCAUCUUCACCAAUCACAUGCACGUGACCGAACAUAUGGGGAAGAAUAGCAUACCCCAUAAAAGCCACAUAAACCCAAUUUAGUUUGAUUUAUGCCAAAUUAGUGUUUGUUUCCUAUGACCUCCCGCCAAGCAAUGGGCUAGGAGUACAUGAUUUCUGUCAAAUAUGUCAUGUUGGUUGGUUGUUUCCCUUCCUUCAAAUAGCACCAGCCUUCUGCCAUCCUACACGGAUGAGGGUACAUGAGGACUUCUGAUUGGCCAGGCGGAUGUCCGGACAGCCGCAAAGUUCCCGCAACUUCUUGUCCUAUUUGUGGGAUUCUAGACAGUCACACGAGUCCACGGACAUACGCAAGAUGGGUUGGACGGCAAACUGCGUCCAGACAGUUCGGUCCUGGUGUUUGCGAGGCAUUUGAGGGUCGUCUUUGGAGUUGCCCACAAGGGCCUCUUCGAUUCGUAGGAAUUUCCAAAUGCAAGAACAAGAAAAAUACAUGAUUGAAGUGGACAAUCCUAUAAGAUACAAAAGGGAGCGUUUGAUGCCAAAGAAAAAAAAUUAGUAAAAGAGGUUGGAGUGUAUGAACUGUAGUACAUAUAAUUUCUUAAGAAAAAUCCCUAUAGGAUAUAAUCCUACAAAUCAAACAACCAACCUAGAAAUACUUCAUAAGGAAUCUACUCCUCCAAAUCCUAUGAAAUUUGUUCUUUUUGUGUGUGGGGAAAACCUCUAAUCAAUUCGUGAAACAUCAUGGCAGUACAAAGAACACCCAAAGUAAAAGAAAUCACAUCCAUGUCCGUAGAGCACCUAGCCAUGACUACAAGCACUGGAGCGAGCCGAAGGCGCGUCGCUGUCAUCGCUCCUCCCUCGUCGAAGCCAGGUAAACCAUGUUGAAGUAGAGAGUCAGGAAAUUGACGAGCUAAGGCCUCAAUGGUCCAGCGCCAGAAAGGAAAACUGCCGCCGAUGAAUAGAAGCGUAGAUCAAAAGCGUUCAACCUGUAGACACAAGAAUGCAAAUGAAUAAAAACCUGAUCCAAGCUGAUUCACCAAAGACAAACAUCGACUGAAUCAUGCAACAUCCACCACUGAUAGACUUCCACACACCCUCUGACAAUGUUACAUGCACAACCGAGACAUGGGUUAGGGGGAGAACCUUAUAACAUAUUCAGGGAGCCGCCACCGUCGCCUUGUCUUCCUGAACCCUAAAUCUUAAUCUCCAAGUGCACACAUGGGGGGCUGCUGAGUGGCCUCGGCUCUCCUCGAAUCCAUUCAUAGAAAGGGGGAAGGAUAUGGGAUGGUUUGAGUACAAAAAAUCAUCACAAUUGGGGCUAGAUCUCAUAUACCACUAGACUUACUAACAAUCACAAUAAAACAAUCAAAAUUGAGACAAGGUUGUAAUAUAUAGCACUACUCUGUAGCUAAACGUGUUCUAACAUCGAAUCUGACCAAUGGGACGACCCACUUAUCAUGAUGACAUGGCAUGUACACGUGGAUAGUUUAUUUGGUUGGAGGUCUCACUAGUCAUCUUGCCGUCUUAUUUCCCUCUCUCCCCCUUCUUUGUCCAUGAGAAGCCAAACACCGACGAAAGGGCAGGCGAACAUUGGGAGGUAGGGGUGAUUGGCGAACCCAAUGCUUACUCUCCCCUUCCUCCCCACCGCUUCGUCCUGGAGGUUGAAGCACCGCUAGAGAUGGGAGCAGCGGUAUUAGGAUUUGGGAGAGAAAGAGAGGAAAAGAAGAUGGAAGGAUGACAAGUGGGACCCUCGGCCAAAUCAUCAAAUUAUCUACGUUUAACAAUUUUCAAAUGCAUGAUUAACAUUUUUAAUAUAUUUGUUUUUUACGCCUACUUGUUUCCACAGACCUUGUACAUUUGGUUAUACAUCAUAAACAUGUUAUGUAUAUAUUUUAACAAAAAUCAAUACAUGAUUAAUAUUUUUGCAAACAUAUAUUUUAAUAUCCACUUUUUUUCAUGCACGUUGUACAUUUUCCGUAUACAUUAGAAUGUUUUUGUAUAUAUGUUUAACAUGUUUCAAAUGCAUGACUAACAUUUUUAAUUUUUGACAUAAAGUGAUAUUUCUAUCAUAUAUAUUUAGAAUAUUUCCAAAUAUAACUAAAAGCAAAAAAAGAAAUUAGAAAACAAAAGCAAAAUGCGAAAAACUGAAAGAAAACGAGUGCUUAAUGCCGCACAUGCAGGGUCGGCCCUGUAACGCAGGUUAGAGAGGUUCCCGCGCCCACACGACUGCACAUAUGGACCGGGCCAUCGCGUGUGACACGAGCGCUCAACAGCGGGAAGCUCGUUCGGUUUGGGUCUGGUCGAAAACAAAAAUGCUCGGUGGCUUUGGGUCUGGUCAACCGUUUUGAACUAAAAAAAUAUGUAUCAGAAAAACCAAACAAAUAGCCAAAUGCGGAAAAGAUUUGAAUUCAAAUAAUUCCAUGCAUUUUGAAAAAAUGCAAAAAAACUCAUGAUUUUGAAAAGGCACUAAAUUUUAAAAAGUUCAAGAUUUUGCUAAAAAAAGUCAUUGAUUUUGAAAAAAAGUAAAUUGAUUUUACAAAUAAUCAUAAACUUUGAAAAAACCCCAUGAAUUUUAAAAAAGUUCAUCAAUUUUUAUAAAAGAUAGCAAAAUUAAAACAAUCAGUGGAUUUUAGAAAAUCAUCAAUUUCAGAAAACAAUUCACUAGUUUUAAAAAAGUCCACCGGAUUUUAAAAAAAGGUUCAUGUAUUUGAAAAUAAUUCAUCAAUUUUGAGAAAAAAAGUUCAUGAAUUGAAAAGGUUCAUCAAUUUGAAAAAAAACAUGAAAUUGAAAAGGGUUCACCGAUUUUCAGAAACAAUCAUAAAAAUGAAAAGGUUUAUGAAUUUGAAGAAAGUUUGCGAAUUAAGUGAAAUAAAGCAAAAAAGAAAGGAAAACGAGAAAACAUAGAAAAAAGGCCAAAAAUAGCAAAACACGAGAAAGAAAAACCAUGGGGCGUGAUGUUUUUUUUACUUUACAUUUACCUCAAGAUGAAAGAAAGAGGUACAUGGGAACAACAACCAUGUUGGUGCAAUGGUUAACACCACCGUGUCGGAGCAAGGAGUGCUGAGUUUGAAUCCUCUCCAUCUCACACUUUUUUGAACCUUAGAAAGAAAGGAAAAUGGGGAAAUGAACUGAACCCAGGGCGGUGGGGGUGUGUGCGCCAACUAUCACAAAGCACUAUAGUGGAUGCUGAAGGCACCAUAUUGGAAUUGUUGAGUGCUCCUGCCGUCUCGCGUGAACCACUUCUAUGUAUCGUUGUAAGCAACUGUGUGAGCUUGCUCACCUACGAUGACCCCUUCGUGGGCCUGCCCGGUGAGGAGAGCGACACCCUCCCAGUCCCGAGCCACGUGUGGGGCAUGUGACAUGUACAUCUCGCACUUUUUUGAACCUUAGAAAGAAGGGAAAAAGGGAAAAUGUGUCGAGCCUAGGACGACAGGGGUGUGUGCGCAAGUAGUAAAAAGCACUAUGACGGGAAGCUGAAGACGCCGUAUAGGAAUUGUCGAGUGCUCCUGCCGUCUCGCGUGAACCACUACUAUCUAUCGUUAUAAGUGACUAUGUGAGCUCGCUCGCGUACAGCGACCCCUUCGUGGACAUCUCGCUACUUGAACCUUAGAAGAAGGAAAAACAAGGGAAAAUGGGUCGAGCCCAGGACGGAUUGGGGUUUGUGCGCCAAGUAGCAAAAAGCACUAUGAUGGGCGCUGAAGGCGCCAUACAAAAAUUACCGAGUGCUCAUGUCGUCUCGCGUGAACCACUACUAUGUACCAUUAUAAGCAACUACGUGAGCUCGCUCGCCUAUAGUGACCCCUUCAUGAGCCUGCCCAGUGAGGAGGGCGACACCCUCCCAGUCCCGACGAGCCACGUGCAGGGCAUGUGACAUGGAUGUCUUUUUAUUUCUUUCUUUUCACAAAUUAAUUUUCGUUUUUUCUUCCAUGACCGGUCUAAAAAAUAAAAUAAAAUGUGUUUAUACUUCUAGUUAUUGAUAAAGUUCGUGAAAAUUAAAAAAACUGUUUCCGGGAAUAAAAUUAUCCCUGUAAUUUAAAUUUGUUCAUAAAUCUACAAAAAUGUGUUUGAUUCCUAAAACUGUUCAUGAAUACGGAAUGUCCAUGAAGUAGAAAAUAUAUUCAUGAUUUGACAAUUUUUUCACUAAUUCAUUAAUUUUUCAUGAAUAUAAAAAAUGGUUGUGAUUCAAAGAAAAUGUUCGUGAAUUCAAAAACUGUCCACGAAUUGAAAAACGGUCCACUGAUUCGAACAAAUGCCCGCGAAUUCAUUAAGAUGUUCAUGGUUUUUAAAAAUAUUCACAGAUUUUCAAAAGAUAAUCGAAUUUGAUUUUUUAGAAAUUAUCACUAAUUAGUAAGAAAGAAAACGGAAACAAAAAAAAAAUAGAAAGAAAACUGAAAUUUUUUCAUGAGAAAAUAGAAUAAGGGAAAAGAGAAGAACCUUCCGGAACCUUCCCAAAACCGAACGGAAGGUUCGCAAAAGCGUUCCUGUUUCUGGAUGUGAACAGUUCACAUCGGAGCGUGAGUUGGCGAGUUCUUGCUUAGUGCUCACUAAGGCGAUAGAUAUCAUUUCUGACAUAAUAUGAACAGCCUAUAUGGACGUCCUAUCAAUAGGCCCGUGACGCCUAUUUUAAGAACACGAUCUCGUCGGUCGUCAUGAGGUGGUGCAUGGCUGCUCUUUAGUGCUCCACCUCCACGCCGUGUAGGGCCCUGUCGGGAGGUCCUAUUCGGCGUUGUAGGUGUCUGAACCUGAAAAUGGCGCACCUCGUGAAGCAGAGCUCGGGUGCAAGAACCUCAACGUUCAACGACGAGGUUACGAGGGGCUGCUUGUCACCUCGCCUCGCUACACCUCACACCAGUAAGUCCCGUCUUUCAUCAAUGAUGGUUCAUUCGAGGAAAUUAACAAUAAUAACAGUUUGAUUGUCGACAUGUUCCCACUCCCAGGUUGAACUCUACUGUCCAUGCCAAGAUCGGAGACGUCAGACUGCACAUUGUUGGCAAGGAUGAAUACGAUGAUGAGCUUCCUGUCAAGGAGCCGAGGUUUUUGCAGAUUGAACAACCUAACCAUACACUUCCUAGACGAGUACAGGAGGAUUUGCCGUCCAAACUAGGCUUGGACAUCCGGGUGCUGCUACCCACCACAAAGGAAAAGAACCCUGCAACCUUCUCAAGAGAUAUAUCAUCGUUCAGCUCUGAGUCUUGAGGUGGCAGUGAAAUUGACCUCCCUUUGUAAGUAUGAAAAAACAGAAGUAUAAACAAGUAAAGGGUUCUGGAAAGUAACUUAUGUUCCAGGACAAGUUCUCUUAAGUUUAUAUAGCAUGGUGAUUAGAAAGAAAUUAGAACUUGAGCAUUGGCGGUGAAUUAUAUAUCUCAAAAGAGUGAUCAAACAGAGAUGAGAGAGAGAGAAGAUAAGGAGUAUACCCUGACUUGAUUAAUUGCCGUAGCAGGUUCGCAUUCCCUGGCCUCCUCUUUAUGUAUCUUAAACUCUCUCGCACCUUCUUCCCGGACACACACACACACACACACACACACACACACACAAGGGCACAAGGUCCUUCCUUGUGAACCUCAACACGAGGAGGUCCUUUUGUCGUCCCGCCUUCAUGUCUGUCUAAUGUUUAAGGAAUUCUAGUUCGUUCGUUACAGAAACUGUAGUACCGAAUACAUCAACUAGGUGUGCGCCAACGUUACUGCUACCAUGUUGUUUUGUCAUUGUCUAACUUCCCUCCUCGCAAGGCCGAGCAAAUAAUAAUACUAACUAACAAAAAGGCCCGUCCGUUGCAACGGGAGAGAAAAUACCACACACUCUUAAUUUAUAAAAAAUGUUCUAUAAUCUGAGAAUUUGUAGUUAUUUCUUAAAUACAUGAAGAGUUAAAAAGGUUGUUAAAAAGAUACAAGAUUUUUUAAUCAUAAAAAAGAUUUUUUUUGUCUGGAAAAGAACAUUUUUUAUGGUCUCAUGUUAACGCAGGUACUUGCGCCCCUAUUUUAUCACUAUUUUUUGCCAUACAUGUUGUAGGUAUUGGUCCCUGUUUCACCAUAUUUAUUUCUUAUUAAACUUGUCUUUUAUUUUAUUUUUUGUCAUGCAUGCCUCCUUUUUACUUUUUUCAUGCAUGUCCUCUUUUCCUUCUUCUUAUAUAUAGGAGAAUAGCGCAACAUCUCAUCUUUAUCGGAUCUCCUCUGCAAUUUCUCUUUUAUUUUUUUAUAGCGGACAUCCCAUCUUUGUUUGGUCCUUUUAUUUCUUGUAAUGCAUGUCCUUAUUUAUUGGUGUCUCUAACAAAUUUAUCUUUAAUUUGAUGUCCAAUCCUGAUUUUGCUGAGGUGUUCAUCCCCAGUCUGAAUCAGUACCCUAUGAAAAAAGACAGAUAAUGCAUUGUUGAUUAACAUUGCAGCCUAGAUAGUGUUUUUAAAAUUGUUAACAGGUAAAAUAACAUCACAUUUAGAUUCUACAUAUUUUUUAAUCAAAUUUCAUAUAUGAUAUGUUAAAUUUGGAGUUACGGUUUAAAAGAUAUGAGUAUUUUAAAAAACAUUUGAUAUGUACUGCGGAUAUAAUGUCAGAAACAUCAGGGGUUUUUCUACAAAAUAGCAUGAUGGACUAAGAAAAUCUAUUUCUUUUAUUAGUAGGUAUAGAUAUGAUUGUUGACAUGUUCCCAGGUCGGUCUUUAUUAUACAUGCCAUGAUCAAAGGCGUUGUAUAUUGUUGGGGAGGAUUGAUAUGAUGAUGAGCUUCCCGGUGAGGAGCUAAUGUUUUUGCCGGUUUAAGUACAUGAAGAUCUGCUCGUGCCUUGAUGAGGUCAUUCAACCAGAAAACCAGCAAAACGACGGUGAUCAUCGUCCAACUCCAAACCAGGCUUGAGCUUCCAAGUGUUGUUGUCUGCGAAAAAGCAAAAGGUGCCAUGUAAACAUGGGUACAUAAUCAAAUCCGAGAACUAGUAUAUAUAUGUGCAAUUGAGAAAGAUUUCACAUGUAUCUACGUAGGUAGUCGACCAGGGUAGGGUGCUUGAGCUUUGUAAAAAUAUCAGAUUAGAGAACUAACAUGACUUUUUGGAGAAGAGUCGCGUGUGUGUCAACAAAAUCUUAAUUCUUUAAAAAAGUUAUUAGAAAUCCAACAUUUUGAUCAGUCCACUUGGCUUCAGUGUCAACAUGAAAAAGAAAUCAUGAAAUAUUCUAUGUAAGAUUUUGGCUCUAGCCUUUCCAAGCGUGUGAUCACAUAGGAAACAUGAGAAACUCUAGCACACACAAAGUCAUCUCUCACAAAAUGUGCUUUAUGGGCCGAAAGAGAGGGACUAGAUGUAUGAUGUCUCCCAUAUGGUAGAUUUGUGUCCAUAUUCAUCUUUCUAUCAAUCAUAGAUUGAAUUUGAGUAUAUAUGUUCCACUCUACGAAUAAAUAAAUAAAUGAAUUUGAGUAUGUGUAUCAAGGCAGUAAGGAUAUACUCCCUCCGUCCGAAAAUACUUGUCAUCAAAAUGGAUAAAAAGAGAUGUAUCUAGAACUAAAAUACAUCUAAAUACAUCCUCUUUUAUCCAUUUUGAUGACAAGUAUUUCCGGAUGGAGGGAGUAUUAGUUAAAAAAAAACUAGUCUUAGACAGACCAAUGUUGUGACUAUGUGUGCAACAUCUUUUCUCGUUACCACGAAUGUUAAGAAUAUUGUCAUAUAUUACUACAUUUAUGAAAACAAAAAUUGCAAUCUCGAAUUGCUAAUGCGAAUAUAAAGUUCACAGUUUGUAAUAGACGUGCAUAGUGUGAUUUUAUAUAUGCAACCAAGUUGGAUAAUAUUUUGAUUUGAUUAUUAAACAAAACACUCACAUCUGACAAAACAAAUCGUCAACUUGUAUUAUGCAUGGGACAUGUCGACGCUAGCUUCAAAUUCCAAAUUAAGUUACAAGAUAGCACCAACUCGGCUAACUUUUAUCAGAGUAUACAAUGCAUAAUAGUGUACUUUGAACCGGGAAAUAGUGUGAGGAAUUGUGUGGUGAUGCAUAAGAGGAUCAGACCCCCUAUAUUGUGUACCGCACCUGAAUACAAUAUAUGUAUCUUUACUUAUUUUUAUGUAUUAAUUGUAGACCUCAAUGCAAAUCUCUCUAUACUGCCAAGGUCCAAAAGUUGAAGUGAACUGAGUGAGGCUUAGAUGGUUAGGUUUCAUGUAGUGGAACUAGCCCACCAAAGUUCAAGUCCUAAAUUUGGCACUGCUGAUCAUAUUUUUUGGAUUUAUUUCAUGCUUUCUCGCGAUGUACAUUCUGUGGGAGGAGAUGUUCCUGUUGAUUAUGAUUUACGAGACGCCUAUAAUGACUUCACCAAUCUCAAGAUGCCAUGCCGCCUUAGUAUCUCGGAGGUGCUCAUAGUGAUAGUAUGUGUGCACGCGCGCGUUCAUAGGGAUGAGUGUAUAUACGUGUAUGUGGGCAUAUGCGAUUGUACUGUGUUCAUUUUUUUUUACAAAAGUUGGCAUCCUUAGAUAUCGUGUCAUAUAUCUACAAGAUACGAUCGCUAAUGAUGAAUUUAUCUUCUACACUUUUUAUUCAUAAGUAAUCCCUGAAUUAAUACAAGAGGAUUUGCAUGGUUAAUUCUUCCAGUAAUUAUCAAAUAAUGUAGAUUCGUUUUUAUAUCCAAUUCGAUGGGCACUAGAAGUAGUGAACGUGUCUAGAUUCAUCCUCCCAUUAAAUUUCAUAUAUUUUUAGUAGGCAUUGAUUAUUAUUACUACUAUUCAAGAAAUAUAUUAUCUUCUCUAUUCUCUUUACUACCAAUGAUAUCCUAAAUAUCCAGAUAUUCUGUUUUAAUGGAAUAUUUUAGGAUAAGCACAAGCUUGAUGCCAUUGUAUCUAUAUAAAUCGAGUAUUUUCUAGGAUAAACCAUAGACAUACCAGCGAAAGGAGUAUUACAUAGUGUUCUCUACCACUCUCUGUGAACUUAGGCAAUGGCAAAUACUAGCAUCCUCCAAGUCUUCAUUGUUUUUAUCAUUGCGCAAGUCUGCUUACUCAUGAUGAUGGCAACACCGAUAGCGCAGGCAGCCGGCAGGCUUAUGGGAUACAAUCCAGUUUGCUGCCCUAGGGACAUCUACUGUUGUGGGUUUGGCGGUGUGAUGGCCAAUGGAAC
rnacentral:lncRNA from 1 species